CCGUGUCGUGAGACGUAACAAGCUUCCGAUGGCAGCGAAACGUGCGACAAUCGAUGCCAAUGCACAUGCUCAACUUCACGGCUCAGUAGCAAAUUCACAACUAACCCAUUUUCCGGCCGAUUCUCUUGCUCCACGUGUGUUCUAGCAUGGAUCGAUGGGAUCGCGCAUGCGUGACACGUUUUAAAAAUCUCUCUUUUUUACAAACUCUCCCAGAGAGGAAGAGAGUCAAUUAGAGGCAUAUUGGAAGCCUGUUGUUUGCUGCAGUUAAUAAACGUUAGUGUUUGGUGCAUA